rnacentral:rRNA from 1 species
CGGCGGACGGCUGAGUAACGCGUGGGAACGUGCCCCAAAGUGAGGGAUAAGCACCGGAAACGGUGUCUAAUACCGCAUAUGAUCUUCGGAUUAAAGCUUUAUGCGCUUUGGGAGCGGCCCGCGUCCGAUUAGGUUGUUGGUGAGGUAAUGGCUCACCAAGCCGACGAUCGGUAGCUGGUCUGAGAGGAUGAUCAGCCAGACUGGAACUGAGACACGGUCCAG